ACCAAAUAAUAGUAAAUUAACGACUACUUCUGAUGGGGAAAUUAUAUCCAAAUCCCUCAAAUAUCCCCUCUUAUAUGAUUCUCACUAUUCAUUAUAUUUUCAGCUACAUUAAUCUUGUUUAAUCAAAUAAACUUCUUCUCAUUUAAACCUAACCUUAUUAAAAGAGCAGAAAAAGGAACAAUUGAAAUAAAAAACUUAAAUUGAAAAUGAUAACAAAUCUAUUCUCAACAUUUGACCCAUCAACUAACAUCUUUAAUUUAUCAUUAAAUUGAACUAGAACAUUUCUAGGACUAUUAUUAAUCCCAUCACUAUUUUGACUUACACCAUCACGAAUUAACAUUAUCUGAAAUAAACUAAAUUUAACCUUACAUAAUGAAUUUAAAACACUUCUUGGACCAAAAUCAUUUAAUGGAACAACAUUCAUUUUCAUCUCAAUUUUUAUUAUAAUAUUAUUUAACAAUUUCAUAGGAUUAUUCCCUUAUAUUUUUACUAGAACAAGACAUUUAGCAUUAACAUUUGCAAUUGCCCUACCUAUAUGGCUAAGAUUUAUAUUAUUUGGAUGAAUUAACCAUACUAAUCAUAUAUUUACACACCUUGUACCACAAGGUACACCGCCUGCAUUAAUAUCAUUUAUAGUACUAAUUGAAACAAUUAGUAAUGUUAUUCGACCAGGUACAUUAGCAGUACAGUUGGCAGCAAAUAUAAUUGCAGGACACUUAUUAUUAACCUUAUUAGGAAACACAGGACCAUCUAUAGCAAUAAACUUAAUCUCAUUACUAAUUAUUGGACAAAUACUUCUAUUAAUUCUAGAAUCAGCAGUAGCAAUAAUUCAAGCCUAUGUUUUCUCAAUUCUAAGAACUCUAUAUUCUAGAGAAGUAUAUUAAACCUAA